UUCAACGUUUGUACGUGUCUAAUAUCCUGCCUUUAUGUCAAUGCAUUAUGGUUAAUAGUUCAUUUUGUUCUUUCUUUGUAGAUUGAAAAGAUAUAUGGAUGAUUAUAUGGGUGCGUAACAAGUAUACUGCAAUGAUGAUGAUGACGACGACGACGAUGAUAUUCUGGUUCAUGAUGAUGAUGAUGGAUGCUUUCAAUUUUAGUUAAGUUGUGGAAUGUUCCUGUUGGACGAUGUUCCUCAGUUAGUUUUAGUCAAGUUGUAGGGAUAUUGAGGAUGAUUUUAGUAUAGAUUUUGCUGUCAAGAAAAUUUUAGAUUAUGCAUCACAUUUGGAUGAUGUUCCUCCUGUAAUAUCCAUUAUUGUAAUCCAACAGUUUUAUCUGAUAUAUGAU
rnacentral:lncRNA from 1 species